CUGUCCUACGGGAGGCAGCAGUAGGGAAUCUUCCACAAUGGACGAAAGUCUGAUGGAGCAACGCCGCGUGAGUGAAGAAGGGUUUCGGCUCGUAAAGCUCUGUUGGUAGUGAAGAAAGAUAGAGGUAGUAACUGGCCUUUAUUUGACGGUAAUUACUUAGAAAGUCACGGCUAACUACGUGCCAGCAGCCGCGGUAAUACGUAGGUGGCAAGCGUUGUCCGGAUUUAUUGGGCGUAAAGCGAGUGCAGGCGGGUCCAUGAGUCUGCUGUGAAAGCCUUCGGCUCAAACGGGGAAUU
rnacentral:rRNA from 1 species